rnacentral:miRNA from 1 species
AGACUGACAACUGGAAUAUACCUUAGAGGUCAUCCAUAGUUGUCAGUCUCAAGAUCCAAUAAAAGCAUG